rnacentral:ncRNA from 1 species
GAAAGAGGUCGCGGUCUUUAAGAGUAGUAAUUUAAUUAAACAGAUAUUGUUAAAUUAUGAAAGGAAAUGCCGCCGAAGUUAAGAAGAUGAAUCUGUUAAGUCUUCUUUUCUGGGGAAUUGCAGAAUAUGUAAUUCACUGUCGCAUUAUAAAAUGCGGAGCGCUU